rnacentral:rRNA from 1 species
GUGAACGCUGGCGGUAGGCCUAACACAUGCAAGUCGCACGGCAGCACAGUAAGAGCUUGCCCUUACGGGUGGCGAGUGGCGGACGGGUGAGGAAUACAUCGGAAUCUACUUUUUCGUGGGGGAUAACGUAGGGAAACUUACGCUAAUACCGCAUACGACCUACGGGUGAAAGCAGGGGAUCUUCGGACCUUGCGCGAUUGAAUGAGCCGAUGUCGGAUUAGCUAGUUGGCGGGGUAAAGGCCCACCAAGGCGACGAUCCGUAGCUGGUCUGAGAGGAUGAUCAGCCACACUGGAACUGAGACACGGUCCAGACUCCUACGGGAGGCAGCAGUGGGGAAUAUUGGACAAUGGGCGCAAGCCUGAUCCAGCCAUACCGCGUGGGUGAAGAAGGCCUUCGGGUUGUAAAGCCCUUUUGUUGGGAAAGAAAAGCAGCAGGUUAAUACCCCGCUGUUCUGACGGUACCCAAAGAAUAAGCACCGGCUAACUUCGUG